rnacentral:rRNA from 1 species
AAACUUUCAACAACGGAUCUCUUGGCUCUGGCAUCGAUGAAGAACGCAGCGAAAUGCGAUACGUAGUGUGAAUUGCAGAACUCAGUGAACCAUCGAAUCUUUGAACGCACAUUGCGCCCGGCAGCAUUCUGCCGGGCAUGCCUGUCCGAGCGUCGUC